rnacentral:rRNA from 1 species
GUACACUCCUGCGGGAGGCAGCAGUGGGGAAUAUUGGACAAUGGGCGCAAGCCUGAUCCAGCCAUGCCGCGUGAGUGAUGAAGGCCCUAGGGUUGUAAAGCUCUUUCACCGGUGAAGAUAAUGACGGUAACCGGAGAAGAAGCCCCGGCUAACUUCGUGCCAGCAGCCGCGGUAAUACGAAGGGGGCUAGCGUUGUUCGGAUUUACUGGGCGUAAAGCGCACGUAGGCGGACUAUUAAGUCAGGGGUGAAAUCCCGGGGCUCAACCCCGGAAGUGCCUUUGAUACUGGUAGUCUUGAGUUCGAGAGAGGUGAGUGGAAUUCCGAGUGUAGAGGUGAAAUUCGUAGAUAUUCGGAGGAACACCAGUGGCGAAGGCGGCUCACUGGCUCGAUACUGACGCUGAGGUGCGAAAGCGUGGGGAGCAAACAGGAUUAGAUACCCGAGUAGUCCCAUGAU